ensembl:lncRNA SP2-DT SP2 divergent transcript
AAAUGCCCCAGAAAUAGCAUAUACAUUGCGCCCUAAGUCCAGUCUCGCCCAGGUGUGGCAGGAGCUUUUACCUGCUCUUCGGCAGUAGCCGGCUGCCACUCAACCCCAUGCCUGGGUUGUCCUCAUCUAAUCCGUCAGUACCAGACAGUGAACAUCUCUCCCCCAGGAUGCUGAGGGAGGGUCCUGGAGGGAAGGAUGUGGAACUACAGCCUCUGCUCUCAAGAAGCUCAGAUCUGGGCAGGGAACAUCACAUACCAGGGCUGUCUGUCGGGGGGGUGGAGGGCUGGGGGAGGGAUAGCAUUAGGGGAAAUACCUAAUGUAAAUGACAAGUUGAUGGGUGCAGCAAACCAACAUGGCACAUGUAUACCUAUGUAACAAAUCUGCAUGUUGUGCACGUGUACCCUAGAACUUAAAGUAUAAUUAAAAAAAAAAAAAGCUUCAGAUCCCUCCUGGAGCCUCCUAUGAAACCAC